AGUGAACGCUGGCGGUAGGCCUAACACAUGCAAGUCGAACGGCAGCACAGUAAGAGCUUGCUCUUACGGGUGGCGAGUGGCGGACGGGUGAGGAAUAGAUCGGCAUCUACUUUUUCGUGGGGGAUAACGUAGGGAAACUUACGCUAAUACCGCAUACGACCUACGGGUGGAAGCAGGGGAGCUUCGGACCUUGCGCGAUUGUAUGAGCCGAUGUCGGAUUAGCUAGUUGGCGAGGUAAAGGCCCACCAAGGCGACGAUACGUAGCUGGUCUGAGAGGAUGAUCAGCCACACUGGAACUGAGACACGGUCCAGACUCCUACGGGAGGCAGCAGUGGGGAAUAUUGGACAAUGGGCGCAAGCCUGAUCCAGCCAUACCGCGUGGGUGAAGAAGGCCUUCGGGUCGUAAAGCCCUUUUGUUGGGAAAGAAAAGCAGCAGGUUAAUACCCCGCUGUUCUGACGGUACCCAAAGAAUAAGCACCGGCUAACUUCGUG
rnacentral:rRNA from 1 species